ACCACAACACACACCACACCACACCACACCACACCACACCACACCACACCACACAUCCAUACAUCGCUGCUGUAGAAUAACUUCAUCAACCUGAGUUUCCUUCGACUGUUUCGAGCGGCUCGCUCUCGUCAAGCUACUGAGACAAGGAGAGACUAUACGCAUCCUGCUCUGGACUUUCGUCCAGUCAUUUAAGGCGCUGCCCUAUGUGUGCCUCCUCAUUGGCAUGCUGUUCUUUAUCUACGCCAUCAUUGGGAUGCAGUUGUUUGGUAAUCUUGCACUGGGCGAGGACGAAGGCAGUGCCAUCAACGAAAACAACAACUUCAGGACUUUCAUCAUGGCACUCAUGUUACUAUUCAGGAGUGCGACAGGUGAGGCGUGGCAUGACAUCAUGCUGUCGUGUCUGGGGG